UACGUAGGGUGCGAGCGUUGUCCGGAAUUACUGGGCGUAAAGAGCUCGUAGGUGGUUUGUCGCGCUGUUCGUGAAAACCGGGGGCUUAACCCUCGGCGUGCGGGCGAUACGGGGCAGACUUGAGUACUGCAGGGGAGACUGGAAGUUCCUGGUGGUAGCGGUGGGAAUGCGCAGAUAUCAGGAGGAACACCGGUGGCGAAGGCGGGUCUCUGGGCAGUGACUGACGCUGAGGAGCGAAAGCGUGGGGAGCGAACAGG
rnacentral:rRNA from 1 species